UGUUUCCUGACAGGUCGCUCUGCCUGCCAGUGAUGAAUAUAAACCUCUCAAAUCUCGAGUCGGAAAUGCCGCAAAGGAGUACCCUUUCAUUCUGGACCCCUUUCAGCAGGAGGCCAUUUUGUGCAUUGACAACAACCAGUCGGUGCUUGUCUCGGCACACACCUCGGCUGGCAAGACCGUCUGUGCUGAGUACGCCAUCGCGCUGGCCCUGCGCGAGAAGCAGCGUGUCAUCUUUACCAGCCCCAUCAAGGCGCUGUCCAAUCAGAAGUACCGGGAGAUGUACGAGGAGUUUCAAGACGUGGGCCUGAUGACGGGCGAUGUCACCAUCAAUCCCACCGCCUCUUGCCUCGUCAUGACAA